CCUACGGGAGGCAGCAGUAGGGAAUUUUCGGCAAUGGGGGGAACCCUGACCGAGCAACGCCGCGUGAACGAAGAAGUUAUUCGUAAUGUAAAGUUCUUUUAACAGGGAAGAAAGAGAAAUUUGACGGUACCUGAAGAAUAAGCUCCGGCAAACUACGUGCCAGCAGCCAGGGUAAUACGUAGGGAGCGAGCGUUAUCCGGAAUUAUUGGGCGAAAAGGGUGCGUAGAUGGCAUAGUAAGUCUUUUGUAAAAAUGCUGGGCUAAACCCAGUAGGGCAAAAGAUACUGCAAAGCUAGAGUAUGACAGAGGCAAGUGGAACUAGAUGUGUAGCGGUAAAAUGCGUAAAUAUAUGUAAGAACACCAGUGGCGAAGGCGGCUUGCUGGGUCGAUACUGACAUUGAGGCACGAAAGCGUGGGGAGCAAACAGGAUUAGAUACCCCAGUAGUC
rnacentral:rRNA from 1 species